UAGAGAGAGAGAGAGAGAGGGAUAGAGAACGAAGUGCUAAGCAGGAGUUUGAAGGGGUUUCGCUUGCCUUCUUUCUCUUUCUUUCUCUCCGAAAAAAAAAAAGGGUUUCUGCUGAGAGGAAGUUGGAGACAUUUGGACAUUUUCCUUCUGUCUCCUCUACCUCUCUACCUUUCUUUUCCUUUUUCUUUUCUUUCGCGUUUUCUAUAUUGUCUUCUCAAAUACUGUUUCUCGAGUUUUAGACUAUUAUUUCUUGAUUUAAGAUUUUGGGUUGGCUUCUUCGGGUGCUAAUUUCAUGGGUCUGAUUGAGAAAUGGAGCAAAUCUUUUGACAAUUGCUGUGUGAGAUAAGUGCUUGUAAAUUUGUAGAGAAUAGGAAGCAAAUCUAGAGGGGAUACUGGAACCCAAUAGGGGAAAAAACAGGCUUUAAUCAAGUUCAUGAGCUUUGGGGGUUUCCUUGAAAACGGUAGUCCUGGUGCUGGAGGUGCAAGAAUCGUGGCAGAUAUACCAUACACCAGCAGCAACAUGCCCGCUGGUGCAAUAGCUCAGCCACGCCUCAUCUCCCCUUCUCUCACCAAAUCCAUGUUCAACUCCCCUGGACUAUCUCUCGCUCUUCAGCAACCCAAUAUAGAUGGUCAAGGUGACGUUGCUAGAAUGGCCGAAAACUUCGAACCAAGCGGUGGUAGGAGAAGCAGAGAAGAGGAACAUGAAAGCAGAUCUGGGAGUGAUAAUAUGGAUGGAGCUUCAGGUGAUGAUCAAGACGCAGCUGACAAUCCUCCAAGGAAGAAGAGAUAUCACCGACACACUCCACAGCAAAUUCAAGAACUGGAAGCUCUGUUCAAAGAGUGUCCUCACCCUGACGAGAAGCAAAGAUUGGAGCUUAGCAAAAGGCUUUGCUUGGAGACCAGGCAAGUCAAGUUCUGGUUUCAAAAUCGCCGAACCCAAAUGAAGACCCAAUUGGAACGCCACGAGAACUCAUUACUCAGGCAAGAGAACGACAAACUUCGGGCAGAGAACAUGUCCCUCAGGGAUGCGAUGAGAAACCCAAUUUGUUCCAACUGCGGUGGUCCUGCAAUUAUCGGUGAUAUUUCACUCGAAGAGCAGCAUUUGACGAUUGAGAAUGCCCGCUUAAAAGAUGAACUGGAUCGUGUUUGCGCCCUCGCUGGCAAGUUCUUGGGUCGCCCCAUUUCUUUAUUGACUACUUCUAUUGGCCCUCCGAUGCCAAAUUCAAGCUUGGAGCUUGGUGUUGGUGGCAAUGGUUUUGGUUGUUUAAGCACUGUUGCCACAACAGCACCUUUGGGGCCUGAUUUUGGAGCUGGGAUUUCAAACGCGUUGCCUGUGGUGACCCAAACUAGACCACUAACAGCUGGCGUCACAGGCCUUGAUAGAUCACUUGAGAGAUCUAUGUUCCUGGAGCUGGCGUUGGCUGCCAUGGAUGAGUUGGUUAAGAUGGCACAGACUGAUGAGCCUCUUUGGUUCAGGAGCUUGGAGGGUGGUAGGGAAAUAUUGAACCAUGAAGAGUAUAUGAGAAUUUUCACUCCUUGCAUUGGGAUGAAACCUAGUGGGUUUGUUUCUGAGGCUUCCAGGGAAACUGGCAUGGUAAUCAUCAGCAGUUUGGCACUUGUAGAGACUCUGAUGGACUCGAAUCGAUGGGCAGAAAUGUUUCCUUGUAUGAUUGCUAGGACAUCUACCACUGAUGUCAUAUCCAUUGGAAUGGGGGGAACUAGAAAUGGCUCACUUCAGUUGAUGCAUGCUGAGCUCCAAGUUCUAUCUCCUUUGGUCCCCGUUCGGGAGGUCAAUUUCCUCCGGUUUUGCAAGCAGCACGCAGAGGGUGUGUGGGCUGUUGUUGAUGUGUCCAUUGACAGUGUCCGAGAAACUUCCGGUGCACCAACAUUUGUGAACUGCAGGAGACUUCCUUCUGGUUGUGUGGUUCAAGAUAUGCCUAACGGGUACUGCAAGGUUACAUGGGUUGAGCAUGCAGAAUAUGACGAAACUCAAAUCCACCAACUCUACCAGCCGUUGAUUAGUUCCGGUAUGGGCUUCGGCGCCCAGCGAUGGGUUGCCACCCUUCAACGCCAAAGCGAGUGUCUAGCCAUUCUCAUGUCCUCCACUGUUUCCACCAGAGACCACACAGCGAUUACCUCGGGUGGGAGAAGAAGCAUGCUGAAGCUGGCUCAGAGAAUGACCGAUAACUUCUGUGCUGGGGUGUGCGCGUCAACGGUUCACAAAUGGAACAAGCUGAACGCAGGAAAUGUGGAUGAAGAUGUUAGGGUGAUGACUAGAAAGAGCGUGGAUGAUCCCGGCGAGCCACCGGGUAUUGUAUUGAGCGCUGCCACUUCAGUUUGGCUACCUGUUUCUCCUCAGAGACUAUUUGAUUUUCUGCGCGAUGAACGGCUGAGGAGUGAGUGGGACAUCCUAUCCAAUGGUGGACCCAUGCAGGAGAUGGCCCACAUUGCCAAGGGCCAGGAUCACGGCAACUGCGUCUCCCUUCUACGUGCUAGUGCCAUGAACGCGAACCAGAGCAGCAUGCUGAUCCUGCAGGAGACGUGCAUAGACGCAGCGGGUUCGCUUGUAGUGUACGCUCCCGUUGACAUUCCAGCCAUGCACGUGGUGAUGAACGGUGGAGAUUCUGCUUACGUAGCUCUCCUUCCAUCCGGAUUCGCUGUUGUCCCUGACGGUCCUGGCUCCCGUGGGUCCCCUACUACGCCUAAUGGCCCAACUGGUAAUAACGGUGGUGCUGGCGGCCAACACAGAGUGAGUGGGUCCCUUCUGACGGUGGCAUUCCAAAUUUUGGUGAAUAGUCUCCCUACGGCCAAGCUCACUGUAGAGUCGGUGGAGACAGUGAACAAUCUCAUCUCCUGCACUGUCCAAAAGAUCAAAGCAGCGCUUCAAUGUGAAAGCUGAUUCAUAAACCCAUGCCCGUAGUGUCGUUUCCGUUUUUAAUCCUUUUAACAUAAUCAUGUCUCUUUAUGCAUUAUUUAGUGUGUGAUUGGUGGUGGCGGUUGGCCUAAGUGUGUGAAAAAAAGAGUUUGAUGUGUGAGUGAGACUAAUAGUGAGUUUGUGGGUGUUGAGUCAAGAACGAACCUCGCGUGGAGACUCCUUGCAUGGACGUUAAAAAGGGUAGGAAUUGUGUCUGUGACUCGUGUGCAUGCACAGUGCAAAAGAGCAAGGGUGGUGGUUCGGGUAUUGACUCAGGUCGACCCCUGAAUAUUGGCUCGAUUACUUAAAAAAACAGGGGACUUUCUAUUAAUCCAAUCCCUUUUCUUUCUUUUUAUUGGAUUGACUGAUGAUAAUCUUUCUUUCCCUGGACUGGAAAAAAAAGUCUCUUGUUGUUGGUGCUGUUAACUUAUUAUGUCAGGGUUUUUGUAUUAAUCUAGUGUUUGUUUACCAAAAAUAACCAUUUUAUUGUUGCAACAUUUGCACUUUGGCCUUCAAGCGCUUGAGGAGGUGAGAAAGAAGCAUAUUGUGGUAGAGGUGGUGCUGUGAGGAAGGGCCGCCUCGUUUCCUUGCCGCGCAGAGCAUUAAAUGUGUGAGCAGAAGCUGUUGGGGAAAAGCGUUGCUAGCAUUUAAUGCUGAAGGUUUGGCGUUGUUUCCGGCUACGUGUACAACCCAAUGAAAGCCUGACGCGUUUACGUUAGAGGUUUUUAGCUGAUAGACAAUAGACUGAAAGCUGUCCAUUUCCUUUGUGUGAAAUCUCUUCACUAUCGGCGAUAAUGCAUGGUGAUUUUUUUUUUUUUUUGUGUGAA
rnacentral:misc_RNA from 1 species